rnacentral:rRNA from 1 species
CCUACGGUUGGCAGCAGUGAGGAAUAUUGGUCAAUGGAUGGAAAUCUGAACCAGCCAAGUAGCGUGCAGGAUGACGGCCCUAUGGGUUGUAAACUGCUUUUAUGUGAGAAUAAAGUUAGGUAUGUAUACUUAUUUGCAUGUAUCACAUGAAUAAGGACCGGCUAAUUCCGUGCCAGCAGCCGCGGUAAUACGGAAGGUCCAGGCGUUAUCCGGAUUUAUUGGGUUUAAAGGGUGCGUAGGCCGUUUGAUAAGCAUGCUGUGAAAUAUAGUGGCUCAACCUCUAUCGUGCAGCGCGAACUGUUGAACUUGAGUGCGUAGUAGGUAGGCGGAAUUCGUGGUGUAGCGGUGAAAUGCUUAGAUAUCACGAAGAACUCCGAUUGCGAAGGCAGCUUACCGUAACGUUACUGACGCUUAAGCACGAAGGUGCGGGUAUCGAACAGGAUUAGAUACCCGAGUAGUC